rnacentral:rRNA from 1 species
GUCUAUUUGAAAUUAUAUAUAGUCUAGCCUGCUCACUGACAAAGAUGUUAAAUAGCCGCGGUAUUUUGACCGUGCAAAGGUAGCAUAAUCAUUAGUUUUUUAAUUGGAAACUUGUAUGAAUGGUUGGACAAAGAAAAAGCUGUCUCUUUUAUUAAAAUUGAAAUUAACUUCUAAGUGAAAAGGCUUAGAUUUUCUAGAGGGACGAUAAGACCCUAUAAAGCUUUAUAAAUUAAGUAAGUUAGAACAAAUUUUAUAGAAUAAAGGUAAAUUUAAUAUAUUUAUUUGGUUGGGGCGACAAUGGUAUAAAUUAAAUAACUGCUAUUAAAAUUAAACAAUUAUAUUUGAUUAAAAUUAUAAUUGAUCCUUAUUAUGGAUUAAAAGAUCAAGUUACUUUAGGGAUAACAGCGUAAUUUCUUUUAAGAGUUCUUAUCAAAGAAGAAGUUUGCGACCUCGAUGUUGAAUUAAAAUGUCUUUAUAGUGCAGAAGCUAUAAAAGAAGGUCUGUUCGACCUUUAAUUUUUU